GGGAUUUUAGCAUAACGGUAAUGCACAUGACUUUUAAUCAUUCGAAUGUAGGUUCAAAUCCUGCAAAUCCUA